GCAUCCCCUCGGUAUCCCGCCCGCUCCCCGCCUCCGGGCCCCAGGGAGUGUCGCCGGAUGAAACUGAUCCCGGUCCCGCGGGCGCUCAGCGCGAGGUGGACGCUAUCCCCGGGUACUUGGGGGCUGCAGCGAGCGGUCCACAGACAAGCCCACGGACGGGGAAUGAAGUCCAAACUGUUCCUGGAUGAAGAGAAAGAAGGUCCAUGCACGUGUGCAUAUCUAUGCAGCUCCUGCUGCACAGUGAACCUAGAGCAGAAUGUGCUGCUGGGAACUGCACAUCCAUCUGCCUUUUAUAUCGUCCCCAGAAGCUGCCAAUCCAGGGGGGACCAUGGCCGACACAAGCUUUACAAUUCAAAUGUAUUUUAAAUCACUGCCUACCUGCUUUGGAAACACACAAAAGAAUAACUGUCUGUAAUGAUCCACAGCCCACCUCUCCCACCUCUCUGGAUGAGCAGCCCCUGGAGCUCUGUGGGCAGAGACAGGGCACCAGAGAAGUGGGAUGCUGGGGCUCUGC